rnacentral:snRNA from 1 species
UAAGCAUAUCAAUAAGCG